GGGCGUGCUUACCAUGCAGUCGAACGAUGAACCGCUUUCGGGCGGGGAUUAGUGGCGAACGGGUGAGUAACACGUGGGCAAUCUGCCCUGCACUCUGGGACAAGCCCUGGAAACGGGGUCUAAUACCGGAUAUGACUGUCCGCCGCAUGGUGGAUGGUGUAAAGCUCCGGCGGUGCAGGAUGAGCCCGCGGCCUAUCAGCUUGUUGGUGAGGUAGUGGCUCACCAAGGCGACGACGGGUAGCCGGCCUGAGAGGGCGACCGGCCACACUGGGACUGAGACACGGCCCAGACUCCUACGGGAGGCAGCAGUGGGGAAUAUUGCACAAUGGGCGAAAGCCUGAUGCAGCGACGCCGCGUGAGGGAUGACGGCCUUCGGGUUGUAAACCUCUUUCAGCAGGGAAGAAGCGAGAGUGACGGUACCUGCAGAAGAAGCGCCGGCUAACUACGUGCCAGCAGCCGCGGUAAUACGUAGGGCGCAAGCGUUGUCCGGAAUUAUUGGGCGUAAAGAGCUCGUAGGCGGCUUGUCACGUCGGUUGUGAAAGCCCGGGGCUUAACCCCGGGUCUGCAGUCGAUACGGGCAGGCUAGAGUUCGGUAGGGGAGAUCGGAAUUCCUGGUGUAGCGGUGAAAUGCGCAGAUAUCAGGAGGAACACCGGUGGCGAAGGCGGAUCUCUGGGCCGAUACUGACGCUGAGGAGCGAAAGCGUGGAGG
rnacentral:rRNA from 1 species